GACGAACCGUGCGAACGUUGUUCGGAAUCACUGGGCUUAAAGGGCGCGUAGGCGGGUGGUCAAGUCAGGGGUGAAAUCUUUCUGCUCAACCGGAAAAUAGCCUCUGAUACUGGCCGUCUUGAGCGAGGUAGGGGCAUGUGGAACUUCCGGUGGAGCGGUGAAAUGCGUUGAUAUCGGAAGGAACGCCGGUGGCGAAAGCGACGUGCUGGACCUCUUCUGACGCUGAGGCGCGAAAGCUAGGGGAGCGAACGG
rnacentral:rRNA from 1 species